rnacentral:rRNA from 1 species
UACGGGGGGAGCAAGCGUUGUUCGGAUUUACUGGGCGUAAAGGGCGCGUAGGCGGUAGCACAAGUCAGUUGUGAAAUCUCCGGGACUUAACUCGGGAAGGUCAACUGAAUACUGUGCGACUAGAGUGCAGAAGGGGCAACUGGGAAUUCUCGGUGUAGCGGUGAAAUGCGUAGAUAUCGAGAGGAACACCUGCGGCGAAGGCGGGUUGCUGGGCUGACACUGACGCUGAGGCGCGAAAGCCAGGGGAGCGAACGGG